GGUCUAGGAGCCCGAUCAGCGGCUUCCAGCGCGGAGGAGCGACGGCGAGAAGGAGCCACGACAGCCCGCUACCGGAGACCCGAGCAAGUGCGUCUUAACACCCGACCCCACCGCUCUGUCGUCCGGGUGCACAGGGGCUGCGGGUCCCGCUCGAGUCCGUGCAUUGCAGCCGUGAGAGCUAGUUAGCUUACGGGAGAAAGUUAGCCUUGCUGGAAAUCAUGCUAGUGGCUUGACGUUAGCUCCGGGCGGCUGCUGCUGGAAAAAGUUUGUGUUUGUUUUGCUCCUGGUCUCAGUCCGGUGACGUGUCGGACUUGUUGGCCCUCGCAGCUCGUGUCCUGCUGUCCUGACCCCCGCCUCCAUCAUCUGUCCUGAAGCUGAAGAAGAAGAAGAGGAGGAGGAGGAGGAAGAAGAGGAGAGGAGAGGAGGGGGCACAACAACUCUAAACAUGGCGAGUUUCUCAGACAGAGGUAUUCAAAGUGGCUCUUUCAAGUGGUCGGACCGGCACGCAGCCCCGCGGGUGGAGCCCAGAUAAACCCGGUUAGAGCGGUCACCUCGUGUGAUGGCCAAUGACAGUGACGGAUUUCACGUGUGUGUCUCAUUGCACAGUUGCAGAGUGAAUUCAUCUCCAACAUAAAGUGUGUAAGGACUGACUGGAACCUUUAACCUCACAGCUGUCUCCAGGUGGGACACUUCAUCUGCUGCUCCCCCAGAGCUCAUCUGAGGGCCAACAUGUCGGGGUCAGGGGCCACGACUGUGCAGCUGCUCACCAAGCUUGUGAAGCAUGCAGUGGGAAAGGCUCAGAUCCAGCUCAACCGCUGGCUACAGAGGACUGCCACAGAGGACUGUGACAAAAUCGACAUCCUGAUCUGCAGCGCCUUCGACGAGAGAGGAGCCGGAGCGGGGAAGUCGGACGGUGACCCGGAGGUGACCGGUGACCUGGGGGGGACGAGCUUCGCCGGCGGUGGAGGAGACUUCAGACACCCCUGCUGCAUCACCACCUUCUGCUUCAAGGGGGCCCUGCUGGCGUGCAUCCUGACCGCCGUGUGCUUCUCCUCGGUCGCCCUCGUGCGCCAAUACCUCAAGGACCUCCUGCUCUGGGUGGAGAGCUUGGACAGCUUCGUCGGGGCCUUCCUCUUCAUCGUCGGCUUGAUUAUUGUGUCGUUCCCCUGCGGAUGGGGAUACAUUGUUCUUAAUGUGGCAGCUGGCUACCUCUACGGCUUUGUGCUGGGCAUGGGACUGGUCAUGGUGGGAGUGUUAAUAGGGACCUUUGUGGCACACCUGGUCUGCAAGCGCUUACUGACCGACUGGGUGCUGAACAAGGUUGGGAACAGUGAACAGCUCAGUGCUGUCAUACGAGUGGUGGAGGGAGGAAGUGGACUCAAAGUUGUGGCCUUAGCGAGACUCACCCCCAUUCCCUUUGGGCUUCAAAAUGCAGUUUUCUCGAUCACAGAUGUGUCGUUGCCAAACUACCUGGUGGCCUCGUCUGUGGGUCUGUUGCCCACCCAGCUCCUCAACUCCUACCUGGGCACCACGCUCCGCACCAUGGAGGACGUCAUCGCUGAGCAGAGCAUCAGCGGCUACUUUGUGUUCACCCUGCAGAUUGUCAUCAGCAUCGGCCUGAUGUUCUACGUCGUGCACCGGGCUCAGGUAGAGCUCAACGCCGCCCUCGCCGCAUGCCAGAUGGAGCUGAAGUCGUCCCACAUGAACGGGUCCUCCACCAAUCACAGCAGCUCCACCUACUGCAGCAAGAGGGCGACAGCUGGAAGUGGAAACUGCGUUAAUGUGGUGUGACCCUCAAUUAACUACAUGAGGCGGUAGCUCCUAUGACGGAGCUGUAAGACGACAGAUCUGAAGGGGGCCGUCUGAGACACGGCCCGAAACCCGUCGCUGGUGGUUUGAUGGCGACAUCAUUCUGAAGACCCAAGCCUCCCCUGUGUUUACGGAUGACGAUGUCACCUUGUGUUGUCAGCAUCAGAGCGGCAAACACAAACAAACCAGCUUCUUUAAAAACGGAGCAUUGAUUGACUCUAACAGUUUGUCCGGUUCAGACUGAGUCAUAAAGAUGACUCUUAAGAAUGUGACACGGGAAGAUGAAGGCUUCUACAGGUGUGCGUCAGACAGCUGCAGAGUCCAGAGAGCUGGUUAUCAGUGAGACCGGACAGAGGUCAGCUGAACAUCAUCACUCUGCUGUGUGUUCUAUAGAAGUGGAUCAGUGUCACAUAUCAACUGUUGUUUCUUUUAGGAAACUUCACAUCAGAGGAGACUCCAGCCUCCACUGGUAUUUUUCUUAUUCAUAUACAUCUACUUGUUUUGGAGGAAAUACUCAAUAUUAAUCAACACAUUUUCCAUUAUUGAGUGAAGCCUUUUGGUUGUCUGGUUCUCCUCCUGCUCUGUCUUUUCAUCAAGGAUCCCUCAGGAUCUAAUGAGAUGAAAGAAACUACAAUGGGACUCAGUAGAGCGCAUAUUCACCAAGGCCCAGCAGUCCCCUUAAAUACAAUCAAGCUGCACCAAAUUUCACACACUCAUAGAUAUCAGUCCUCUACAUACGGCAGAUUUUUUUCAUUAAGGUCCAAGAAUUAUUCCCUAGGAAAACGUUUUAAAAGCACAAUGUUAAAGAAAGAGUUAAAAAAUGACUGGAUCAGCUUAAUACCAAAAUACAGUGGGCCCUUUCCUGACACUACAUCUGUCUGCCAAGUUGAUUGGAAAUACAAUUGUUGUUGUUAUAACAGUUUUAUUUAUUCAAACAAGUAUUAUGUCGUCUUGAUCAGGUUCCUGGAAAUGGAUCAUUGCUUCAUGUGGGGUUCUACUUCUGAUCGUCAUUCCUUUGACUGUUUGGCUCGUUUGUCACUACAGGUACCAGAAGUUCUGCACUUGGAGCUGCUGGCCUGUUUCCAAACAGGAAGUUCCAGCAGGGGUGCUUCCUGCCACCAAGUUGGAUGUGACGGAGGUGCAGUGGGACCUGUCAUGGAUGGAGAUGUCCAAACUGUUGGAAAAGGAUUCUUAUUGUGGCACUUAAAGGGAAACUCUCUUCUGAAGCCCAGAGACUUAACUAUUGGGUCAAACCUAUGAGAAAGCUCAGUCAGUGCUGCAAUUUGUAGUAUUUGAUGGUCACAUGUCAAAAUAGUGCUACCUGAUAUAUUUUUGAAUUGAAUUAAAUGAGAUGUUUAGGAUUUAUAAGGAUGACUACAUUUGCUGAUGGUGCAGAUUUGAUAGCUUCCAAUACAAAUGUUAUUGUUUCAGUUGUCACAUUUGUCCAUGUCAAUACUCUUGCACAUUUAAACGUCUCUCCUUUGAGUACAUAUUGAAACUAAGAAUCGUAUUUGUUAUAUCUUAUUAUCUUAUCAUUAAUAUAAUUGACUGCUCUAAAUCAUUUUACAUGUAUCAUUUCUCCUGUGUUUGUUCGAGGUUCCAUGUUGUUUGCUCCCUUUGAAUCGUUAUUUGCUAUUUCUUGUCGUCUGAAGUUAUAAAAGUCAUGGAAAUCGUCGUGCUUGUUUUAUAUCUUUUAAGGCAGAACAAACAACUACCAAGAAACUAGAAAUAACUAUAAAGAUUAACCAAACAAAUACAAUUUGACACAAAUCCACUGCAAACAGACAAAAAAAAGACUAAGAGACACAACACAAGUCUGAAGUGGCACAAAAUGGCUACAGAGAAACACACAAAUGUACUACAAACAGACAGAGAAAUGUAGAAAGAGAGAGAAAGAAAGAAAUACUCUACAUAUAUAUUCUACAUGCACCUGAUAAUAUAUUUCCAUUCAGCUGAUUGAGUCAAAUAGAUUUUUUAAAUUUCAAAAUUUACUUCGCUAAUUUAGGCUCUGGAUUUAAAUGCUACAUUUUUUUUAGAAAGACCCGAAACCAUUAUGUGUCUGUCAAGAUAAUUAAGAUGCAUGCCACACUGCAUUAUUCCUCAUAUACUACACUGCUUAUCAUUUAAAAGAAGCACAUGACUGUAAAAUAAAUACAUGUGCAUGCCUUUAGAAGCCGGCAUCUUUGGUAGUAAUUUAAUGCAGUCGAUUUUAUUUUCAGUUCUUCUCUUUAUUGCAUUAGAGCAUUGGUUCCCAAACUGGGGUACGCGAAGUGGUUCAGGAGGUACGCGGGGAAAUAUUUGAUUUGCGUUUUGCAUAGCUCAACUUCUUUCGUGUCCUAUCGCACGUGCUGCGGGGGGUACGUAGCUUGAGAUUGAAUGUCUGAAGGGGUACGGGACUGUAUAAAGUUUGGGAUCCACUGCAUUAGAGGAUGAAAAGGAACCUGAGAAGAAUAGUUUUUUCCACUUUGUUUGAUAAACAGGGGUUUAAACAAACAGAGCUAUUUCUAAUAAUGUUGAAAAUAUUGGCUGUGUCAGGGAUUACAUCUCUUUGCAAGGACUUCACUCUUAUAAUGACUGAUAUAACUCACAGUAUGAGCAACAAAGUAAAGACUCAAGAUCAUCCAGUGCUGCUGUGUGCACACAGUUUGCCAAAAUACAGUAUAAAUAUGACAUGGAUUUUCAGGAAAGCAUUUGGUCUGAGUUACCAGAGGAACAGAGAGGUGACGUGAGGUGCAGGACAGAGAGCAACAUUAAUAUUACAGCCCUGCCCUGUAAGACACGCUGAAGAAGAAUCUGUCAAAACAUCAGGUCAGAAUCUGAUCUCAUAAAAAACUUCUCUUACAUAAUGAAUGGUGUGUUAUGUUGACAAAGAAAUGAAGUACAAAAGGUUACUCCUACAGUUCUUGUUAUCUUUGUACAAUAAUACACAUUUCUAAAGAACAUCUGCAGCAGACAUUGGUUCUUUAUUGUCGUUGAUAUGCCGUUCAUAUGAAGUUCAUAUAUUCCAACAGCCUCUAUAGCGGUCAAACCAGUUAGGCCUCAUUGAUAGACCAUGUUAGCUACCAAUUUGUUGCAUUUUGCAUUAAUAGAUCACUACAAACAGUACACGUCUUCUUAAAUAGACCUAAAAUCGACUUUAGACAGAAAGAUGUUAAGGAUCUCCAGUACUAAGAAUCUAAAACAGUAAAAAUUAACUCUGAGAUGUUUUUGAAAUCCGACCUUCAAAAUCAUACUCUCAUGCCAUGUGUAAGGUAGGGCAGUCGGUGGAUGAACAGAAUGUGUGUCCAUUCAUCGUUGAGGAAGAUAUCAGGAAGUCCUACUGACAAACAUUGUUGUGCAUUUUAAAGAACAAAGUAUUUUCAUGUGAGAGAACAAGCAUUUCAAUGAAAACUAGGGCUGCGCAAAAUGAUCAAAAUGUCAUAUCCUCUUGUAGAAGUCAUUUCAUAUCCAGUUAAUCAUAUGUAUUGUAAUUGGUCAUCCGUCUCCGUGAUUCUUUAGGUUUUGUCUGAGCUCUGAGUUGUAUUACUCUCAUCCAUAGACACCUAUGAAGGUAUUUUCUGCUGCAAAACACUUGUAGAAAAUCGUCUUUUCUUAAAUGUUCUCCAUACAGUGUAACAUGAACCUCUUGGUAAAAUAAAUUUAAACUAUUUAAGUCUGAA